GAUGAACGCUGGCGGCGUGCCUAAUACAUGCAAGUCGAGCGAACGGACGAGAAGCUUGCUUUUCUGAUGUUAGCGGCGGACGGGUGAGUAACACGUGGAUAACCUACCUAUAAGACUGGGAUAACUUCGGGAAACCGGAGCUAAUACCGGAUAAUAUUUUGAACCGCAUGGUUCAAAAGUGAAAGACGGUCUUGCUGUCACUUAUAGAUGGAUCCGCGCUGCAUUAGCUAGUUGGUAAGGUAACGGCUUACCAAGGCAACGAUGCAUAGCCGACCUGAGAGGGUGAUCGGCCACAUUGGAACUGAGACACGGUCCAGACUCCUACGGGAGGCAGCAGUAGGGAAUCUUCCGCAAUGGGCGAAAGCCUGACGGAGCAACGCCGCGUGAGUGAUGAAGGUCUUCGGAUCGUAAAACUCUGUUAUUAGGGAAGAACAUAUGUGUAGGUAACUGUGCACAUCUUGACGGUACCUAAUCAGAAAGCCACGGCUAACUACGUG
rnacentral:rRNA from 1 species